CAGUAGCCGCGGUAAUACCAGCACCUCGAGUGGUCAGGAGGUUUAUUGGGCCUAAAGCAUCCGUAGCCGGUUGCAUAAGUUUUCGGUUAAAUCUAUGCGCUUAACGUAUAGGCCGCCGAAAAUACUGUGCAGCUAGGGAGUGGGAGAGGUACACGGUACUCGAUAGGAAGGGGUAAAAUCCUUUGAUCUAUUGAUGACCACCUGUGGCGAAGGCGGUGUACCAGAACACGUUCGACGGUGAGGGAUGAAAGCUGGGGGAGCAAACCGGAUUAGAUACCCCGGUAGUCCCUGUCUCUUAUAC
rnacentral:rRNA from 1 species